rfam:Myotis brandtii contig320250, whole genome shotgun sequence.
AGUUCCAAGGUGAUCCUUGGCCCAAGCAAUCUUCCCACCCCAGUUCCCCAUCUUCCCCUGGUUGCCCCGGCUCCCCCGCUUCCCUGGUUACCCCUCGGCUCCCCCGCU